ACGUUCAGGUAAUCGCUGCAGGCUUUAGGUCUGCAGAGGAAAGUCCAUGCUCGCACGGUGCUGAGAUGCCCGUAGUGUUCGUGCCUGGCGAAUUCAUAAGCCAGGGUGGUCCGGAUUUCCGGGCUAACGGCGGGGAACGCGCCUAAGUCCUUAUGGAUAUGGCGCCACUACUCUGAAAGUGCCACAGUGACGGAGUCCUGCAAGAAAUUGCAGGAGUGGAACGAGGUAAACCCCUCGAGCGAGAAACCCAAAUUAUGGUAGGGGCAUUUUCCCGGAGGAACUGAACGAAGGGAAAGACAGAGCCGUUCCCGGUUCUGUAGAUAGAUGAUUGCCGCCUGAGUACGAGGUGACAGCCGCUUGCAGUACAAAGGAACAAAACAUGGCUUAUCGAA
rnacentral:RNase_P_RNA from 1 species